CCCUGUUCUGUAACACCCCUCUGCAGUAGAUGAAUAUUGUCCCUGCUGGGUGACACCCCUCUGCAGUAGAUGAAUAUCCUCCCUGCUGGGUGACACCCCUCUGCAGUGGAUUAAUAUCCUCCCUGCUGGGUGACACCCCUCUGCAGUGGAUUAAUAUCCUCCCUGCUGGGUGACACCCCUCUGCAGUGGAUUAAUAUCCUCCCUGCUGGGUGACACCCCUCUGCAGUAGAUGAAUAUCCUCCCUACUGGGUGACACCCCUCUGCAGUGGAUUAAUAUCCCUCCCUGCUGGGUGACACCCCUCUGCAGUAGAUGAAUAUCCUCCCUGCUGGGUGACACCCCUCUGCAGUAGAUGAAUAUCCUCCCUGCUGUGACAUUAGCCUUUCCCUCUGUUGUCCCAGGUUGUGACAUUAGCCUUUCCCUCUGUUGUCCCAGGUUGUGACAUUAGCCUUUCCCUCUGUUGUCCCAGGUUGUGACAUUAGCCUUUCCCUCUGUUGUCCCAGGUUGUGACAUUAGCCUUUCCCUCUGUUGUCCCAGGUUGUGACAUUAGCCUUUCCCUCUGUUGUCCCAGGUUGUGACAUUAGCCUUUCCCUCUGUUGUCCCAGGUUGUGACAUUAGCCUUUCCCUCUGUUGUCCCAGGUUGUGACAUUAGCCUUUCCCUCUGUUGUCCCAGGUUGUGACAUUAGCCUUUCCCUCUGUUGUCCCAGGUUGUGACAUUAGCCUUUCCCUCUGUUGUCCCAGGUUGUGACAUUAGCCUUUCCCUCUGUUGUCCCAGGUUGUGACAUUAGCCUUUCCCUCUGUUGUCCCAGGUUGUGACAUUAGCCUUUCCCUCUGUUGUCCCAGGUUGUGACAUUAGCCUUUCCCUCUGUUGUCCCAGGUUGUGACAUUAGCCUUUCCCUCUGUUGUCCCAGGUUGUGACAUUAGCCUUUCCCUCUGUUGUCCCAGGUUGUGACAUUAGCCUUUCCCUCUGUUGUCCCAGGUUGUGACAUUAGCCUUUCCCUCUGUUGUCCCAGGUUGUGACAUUAGCCUUUCCCUCUGUUGUCCCAGGUUGUGACAUUAGCCUUUCCCUCUGUUGUCCCAGGUUGUGACAUUAGCCUUUCCCUCUGUUGUGACAUUAGCCUUUCCCUCUGUUGUGACAUUAGCCUUUCCCUCUGUUGUGACAUUAGCCUUUCCCUCUGUUGUGACAUUAGCCUUUCCCUCUGUUGUGACUUUAGCCUUUCCCUCUGUUGUGACUUUAGCCUUUCUCUCUGUUGUGACUUUAGCCUUUCUCUCUGUUGUGACUUUAGCCUUUCCCUCUGUUGUGACUUUAGCCUUUCCCUCUGUUGUGACUUUAGCCUUUCUCUCUGUUGUGACUUUAGCCUUUCUCUCUGUUGUGACUUUAGCCUUUCCCUCUGUUGUGACUUUAGCCUUUCCCUCUGUUGUGACUUUAGCCUUUCCCUCUGUUGUGACUUUAGCCUUUCCCUCUGUUGUCCCGGUGGAGAGGGAGGCUAUCUGUGUAGGAGCUCUAUCCAGCUGUAUCCUGCUGUGGUCUUGUGACCUGAUGGUAAUCGGUGAUGUGAUGGUGCUCAGAGACCAUGUGUUCCCUAUUAGAGUAAAUGUCUAAUAUUUUUGUCUUAUACAUGGAGCGCAGGACCACUAAUAGCCUCAUGAGACCUCUAGCCUCAACUAGAGGGGGGUCUCUAGCCUCAACUUGAGGAUGGUGGCCUCAACUUGAGAAUGGUGGCCUCAACUUGAGAAUGGUGGCCUCAACUAGAGGAUGGUGGCCUCAACUAGAGGAUGGUGGCCUCAACUAGAGGAUGGUGGCCUCUACUAGAGGAUGGUGGCCUCUACUAGAGGAUGGUGGCCUCUACUAGAGGAUGGUGGCCUCUACUAGAGGAUGGUGGCCUCUACUAGAGGAUGGUGGCCUCUACUAGAGGAUGGUGGCCUCUACUAGAGGAUGGUGGCCUCUACUAGAGGAUGGUGGCCUCUACUAGAGGAUGGUGGCCUCUACUAGAGGAUGGUGGCCUCUACUAGAGGAUGGUGGCCUCUACUAGAGGAUGGUGGCCUCUACUAGAGGAUGGUGGCCUCUACUAGAGGAUGGUGGCCUCUACUAGAGGAUGGUGGCCUCUACUAGAGGAUGGUGGCCUCUACUAGAGGAUGGUGGCCUCUACUAGAGGAUGGUGGCCUCUACUAGAGGAUGGUGGCCUCUACUAGAGGAUGGUGGCCUCUAGCUUCAAUUCAUCUCUCAUUCACUCUCCAUGUCUCCUGCUUUCUGUUUCAUCAUGAUAUUCUGGAACAAAGCAGUAUUGUUGGUGUCAUGGUAUCUCUCCCCUGAAUUUGUGCCUUAAACAACCCAAUACACAAUACUUAGCCCAAUACACAAUACUUAGCCCAAUACAGCCCAAUGCACAAUUCUUAGCCCAAUAAGGGGCGGCAGGGCCAGUAACCGAAGGGUUGCUAGAUCAAAUCCCCGAGCUGACAAAGUUAAAAAUCUGUCGUCCUGCCCCUGAACAGGCAGUCAACCCACUGUUCCUAGGCUGUCAUUGUAAAUAAGAAUUUGUUCUUAACUGAUUUGCCCAGUUAAAUAAAGGUAAAAAGAACCUCACAAAAAACAAUACUUAACCCGAUACAAUCCAAUACACAACACACUUGAACCCAAUACUACACAAUACUUAACCCAAUACUACACAAUACUUAGGCCAAUCAAAUCACAUUUUAUUUGUCACAUUCAGUGAAAUGCAGUGAAAUGCUUACUUACAUGCCCUUAACCAACAAUGCAGUUAACAAAAUACCUUUUUAAAAAAGUAAGAAAAAGAAUGACAAAAAAUUAAAGUGCAGCAGUAAAUAAUAGCAGGCUAUAUACAGAUGGUAAUUUGUACAUCUAGGUAGAAUUAUUAAAGUGACUAUGCAUAGAUAAGAGUAGCAACGUUGGGAGGGGGUUGGGAGCAAUGCAAAUGGUCUGGGUCGCCAUUUCAUUAGCUGUUCAGGAGUCUUAUAGCUUGGGGGUAGAAGCUGUUUAGAAGCCUCUUGGACCUUGACUUGGUGCUCUGGUACCGCUUGCCAUGCGGUACCAGAGAGAACAGUCUAUGACAAGGGUGACUGGAGUCUUUGACCAUUUUUAGGACCUUCCUUUGACAUCUCUUGGUAUAGAGGUGCUGGAUGGCAGGCAGCUUGGCCCCGAUGAUGUACUGGGCCGUACGCACUACCCUCUGUCGUGCCAUGCGGUCAGAGGCUGAGCAGUUGCCGUACCAGGCAGUGAUGCAACCAGUCAGGAUGCUCUCGAUGUUGCAGCUGUAAACCCUUUUGAGGAUCUGAGGACCCAUGCCAAAUCUUUUCAGUCUCCUGAGGGGGAAUAGGUUUGUCGUGCCCUUUUCACGACUGUCUUGGUGUGCUUGGACCAUGUUAGUUUAUUGAGGUGGACGCUCUCAACCUGCUCCACUACAGCCCCGUCGAUGAGAAUGGGGACGUGCUCGGUCCUCUUUUUCUUGUAGUCACAAUCAUCUCCUUAGUCUUGGUUACGUUGAGGGGUAGGUUGUUAUUCUGGCACCACCCGGUCAGGUCUCUGACCUCCUCCCUAUAGGCUGUCUCGUCGUUGUCGGUGAUCAGGCCUACCACUGUUGUAUCGUCUGCAAACUUAAUGAUGGUUUUGGAGUCGUGCCUGGCCAUGCAGUUGUGGGUGAACAGGGAGUACAGGAGGGGACUGAGCACGUACCCCUGAGGGCCCCUGUGUUGAGGAUUAGCGUGGCGGAUGUAUUGUUACCUACCCUUACCACCUGGUGGAGGCCCGUCAGGAAGUCCAGGAUCCAGUUGCUUAGGGAGGUGUUUAGUCCCAGGAUCCUUACUUUAGUGAUGAGCUUUGAGGGUACUAUGGUGUUGAAUGCUGAGCUGUCGUCAAUGUAUAGCAUUCUCAUGUAAGUGUUCCCUUUGACCAGUUGGGAAAGGGCAGUGUGGAGUGCAAUAGCGAUUGCAUCAUCUGUGGAUCUGUUUGGGAGGUAUGCAAAUUGGAGUGGCUCUAGGGUUUUUGGGAUAAUGGCAUUGAUGUUAGCCAUGACCAGCCUUUCAAAGCACUUCAUGGCUACAGACGUGAGUGCUACCGGUCGCUAGUCAUUUAGGCAAGUUACCUUAGUGUUCUUGGGCACAGGGACUAUGGUGGUCUGCUUGAAACAUGUUGGUAUUGCAGACUCCGUCAGGGAGGGGUUGAAAUUGUGUUCAAAACAAGUUACAAACAAAAUAGCAUGGUUGGUUAAGAGCCAAUAAGAUGGCAGCCAUCCCCUCCGGCGCCAUCUUCACUAGUCCAAUACAACCCAAUACUUAACCCAAUACUACACAAUACUUAGCCCAAAACAACCCUGUACUUAAACCAAUACUUAGCCCAAUAUGUAACCCAAUACACAAUACUCAGCACAAUAUAACCCAAGACACAGUACUUAGCCCAAUACACAAUACUUAACCUGAUACAACCCAACCCAGGCUGUAUCACAACUGUCCGUGAUUGGGAGUCCCAUAGGCCGGCGUACAAUUGGCCCAGUGUAGUCCGGGUUUGGCCGGUGUAGGCCGUCAUUGUAAAUAAGAAUAUGGUCUUAACUGACUUGCCUAGUUAAAUAAAAAAUAACCCAAUACACAAUACUUGUCCCAAUACACAAUACUUGGCCCAAUACACAAUACUUGGCCCAAUACACAAUACUUGGCCCAAUACACAUUACUUGGCCCAAUACACAUUACUUGGCCCAAUACACUAUACUUGGCCCAAUACACUAUACUUGGCCCAAUACACUAUACUUGGCCCAAUACACUAUACUUGGCCCAAUACACUAUACUUGGCCCAAUACACUAUACUUGGCCCAAUACACUAUACUUGGCCCAAUACACUACACUUGGCCCAAUACACUAUACUUGGCCCAAUACACUACACAUAACCUAAUACAACUCUACUUAAUCGCCUCAAGAAACGUGUGUGUGUGUGUGUGUGU